GUAGGGGGCAAGCGUUAUCCGGAUUUACUGGGUGUAAAGGGAGCGUAGACGGCAUGGCAAGCCAGAUGUGAAAUACCGGGGCUCAACCCCGGGACUGCAUUUGGAACUGUUAAGCUGGAGUGUCGGAGAGGCAGGCGGAAUUCCUAGUGUAGCGGUGAAAUGCGUAGAUAUUAGGAGGAACACCAGUGGCGAAGGCGGCCUGCUGGACGAUGACUGACGUUGAGGCUCGAAAGCGUGGGGAGCAA
rnacentral:rRNA from 1 species